UACGUAGGUGGCAAGCGUUGUCCGGAUUUACUGGGCGUAAAGAGCGCGCAGGCGGUCGGAUAAGUCGAAUGUGAAAGCCCCCGGCUUAACUGGGGAGGGUCAUUCGAUACUGUUCAACUGGAAGGCAGGAGAGGGAAGCGGAAUUCCCGGUGUAGUGGUGAAAUGCGUAGAUAUCGGGAGGAACACCAGUGGCGAAGGCGGCUUCCUGGCCUGUUCUUGACGCUGAGGCGCGAAAGCUAGGGGAGCAAACGGG
rnacentral:rRNA from 1 species